rnacentral:rRNA from 1 species
UACGUAGGGGGCAAGCGUUGUCCGGAAUCAUUGGGCGUAAAGAGCGCGUAGGCGGUCCGGUAAGUCCGCUCUGAAAGUCCGGGGCUCAACCCCGGGAGGCGGGCGGAUACUGUCGGGCUAGAGUCCGGAAGAGGCGAGUGGAAUUCCUGGUGUAGCGGUGAAAUGCGUAGAUAUCGAGAGGAACACCUGCGGCGAAGGCGGGUUGCUGGGCUGAUACUGACGCUGAGGCGCGAAAGCGUGGGGAGCGAACAGG